GAAAGUUUUGUUAAAAAGUUUUUGCUAAGAAUGUUGAUCGCGGCGUUAUUUAUGAUUUUUCCAGGAUCCAGCGUAGCGCCCGGCACGUAGUCUCCAAUGAGUGAGAUGAACAAAGGAACAAAGGAACAGGACAAACCAAGAGUGAAGUGACUCCAAGUUAUGGGAUACGAUGGGGCAAUAAAAGGCAACACAGGCAACAUUGGAACCUGAGGAGACAGUGGGCUGAGUUCACGACAUGGGGGGUUAGCAGUGUCCUCGGAGAGACGGUGACAGCCGGACAGCUAGAGAGUGAGGCCGUUCACCUUCUGGAUCUGGGAUCUCGAUGCUCAUCUUUGCCAGGAGGAGGAUGCUGCUGGCGGACGUGCCCACACUGCGCAGCCCGGACCUUCCAGCCCUUAGCUGAGACUAAGUGUCCCGUGCGGGAGGCCGCAGCCCGCCGGCUCACCUGUGCCCUUCGUAGCCGGAGCGAGGUAAUAACCGGUAGCGCUGUGCUUCCUGCGGCCCGUAUCCCCCCAACAACCCCAGUCGUGGAAUAAAUGCUACAACAACCACGUGAAGAUCACAUAAACCCUUCUAGUAACUAAAGGUAGGGAUUAGGAGACCUGGAAAGUGAGUGAUCACAGAUGAAGCUCUGACUUCUCCGUGUUUUCGAUUCUUCUGAUGUCUGGCGUGUUUUCAGGCAGUGGCCACCACAGACUGUAUGUACAAUUGUAUGUACAAUUUAUGAUUUUGAUGGGAAAUAACACCUGCUUUUAUACC
rnacentral:lncRNA from 1 species